ACGAAAACACCACCCACUAAUUGCCUUCAAGGUAUGCUCCAAAAAGUGCCAGAAUAUAGCCAUGUUGCUCCUUGAAAUGAUCAGCAUUCCAAUAGCAAACAGUUGAGAAAUAACCAAUUCCUGCAAGCUCAAACAGAUGUACUACUCCACCGUACAAAUGCAAUGAUAAUCUUUUGGUCCUUUGGCAAGAUAACAAAAUAAUCCCAUCCAAAAUACUAGUCUGCCACACGUUGGCACCCUCAACAAAAC
rnacentral:lncRNA from 1 species